rnacentral:rRNA from 1 species
AACGAACGCUGGCGGCAUGCCUAACACAUGCCAGUCGAACGAACCCUUCGGGGUUAGUGGCGCACGGGUGCGUAACGCGUGGGAAUCUGCCCUUAGGUACGGAAUAACAGUGAGAAAUUACUGCUAAUACCGUAUGAUGUCUUCGGACCAAAGAUUUAUCGCCUAGGGAUGAGCCCGCGUAGGAUUAGCUAGUUGGUGAGGUAAAGGCUCACCAAGGCUACGAUCCUUAGCUGGUCUGAGAGGAUGAUCAGCCACACUGGGACUGAGACACGGCCCAGACUCCUACGGGAGGCAGCAGUGGGGAAUAUUGGACAAUGGGCGAAAGCCUGAUCCAGCAAUGCCGCGUGAGUGAAGAAGGCCUUCGGGUUGUAAAGCUCUUUUACCCGGGAAGAUAAUGACCGUACCGGGAGAAUAAG